AUGCGGCAUGCAAAAAUCAGUCUUCUCACUAAAACGGCUGUAGAGUCCGAACGGUUUGGCCUACAAACGAUGUUCUUCGUUUUGCUCUACGACCUCCACACGUGUUAUCAGACUCGCCUGAAGUCAGUACCGCCGAUGAACCAACUUCUGUCUGUAGCGUCUGAACGGUUUGGGAUACAAACUAAUAUGACCCCACUAUGGAAAGGGGAGAUUCUCACAAGCACAAUGUGUGGUGUGAUAACGUUACUUGUUGUGAGUGUCUCCUUAUCCCCGGCUGAGCUGAGAUGGAUGUGCGUCAGAGUAAGUUCUGAACUUUCCUUGACUUCCUUAUUUCCAAAUAUUAAAAAAUACUAAAGAUUGAGAAAUCACUAAAUAUCCUGUUGUAGUGCUUUGCUCAGGUUAAACUCCAAUGUGUAGAAUGUUACAUAACAGAACAAAACUCCAAUGACUACAUUCCCCACCUCACCAGCCAGUUCCACUGGGGGAGAACCCAGGAGGAUCAGCAAAGGAUCAUGGGAGAAAGAGUCCAGAGCCAACUGCUGACUUCCUACAAAGAGGAGCUGGUCAGAGCUGCACAGAGUACUCCUGUGUUUCAGAGACCUACAGUGGGUGAGUGACUCAUCAUAAAGCAACAUACCACAUUCCAUAUUGGCCCCUAUAUAUCUGAUAUGAUUUAGAUCUUUAAUGGUUUGGUUAGUAUUUAGUCAGGGUAAUCUGAUCCUAGGACAGCUAUUAGGACCUGUAUUAAAGCUGUACUGUAGUUCCACCUUACUCUUUAAUGGUUUGGUUAGUAUUUAGUCAGGGUAAUCUGAUCCUAGGACAGCUAUUAGGACCUGUAUUAAAGCUGUACUGUAGUUCCACCUUACUCUUUAAUGGUUUGGUUAGUAUUUAGUCAGGGUAAUCUGAUCCUAGGACAGCCAUUAGGACCUGUAUUAAAGCUGUACUGUAGUUCCACCUUACUCUUUUAAAGGAUACAGUAUAUAGACAUUUCCCCACCUUGAUUGCCCCUAUCAAUUUCUGCCAGGCCCCCUUCAUAGGUCAAAAACACAAAACUGACCUAUUCUGAUGUAUAUAGAUGGAAGGACUUUGGUGAUGGAUCAUUUUCUUGAUGCAAUUAUGCAACUUUAAUUAUUAAUAAUUUGGAAGUGAAUAAAAGCCCAAUAAAGAGAGAAAAGAAACAGAGAAUAUAGUGAUUAUUUUUAAAGAGAGAUAAAACCCGCAUAUUCAUCACCAGUGCUAACCUACUUCAGUUAAGACAGUCCUGAUAUGGGUCUGAACCUGUUAGUCAUGAAGGGAUUAAAAGUGAGAUUCAUCCAGAAAUAUAUUUUCCUGAUUUCAUCUGACCAAGUAUUCAGAUAUUGUGUGACAGUAGUUAUGGCCAGGCCAAUGAUAAGCCUCUAUCCUACCCUGUAAAACCAUAAAAAAUAACAACAUUUUAUCUUUAUUUAACUAGGCAAGUCAGUUCAGAACAAAUUCUUAUUUUCAAUGACGGCCUAGUGGGUUAACUGCCUUGUUCAGGGGCAGAACGACAGAUUUGUACCUUGUCAGCUUGGGGUUUCGAACUUGCAACCUUUCGGUCACUAGCCCAACACUCUAACCACUAGGCUACCCUGCCGCCCUAGUGAGGUGCCGGAACAAAAAAAUGACCCGAGGGGCUCUGAGGUACCGGAACAGAUCAUAAAAAAGUGUCUUUAUAAUAAAGCAUUGCAUGCACAUCAUUGCAUUUGCAUAGUGGCAUAGAGCAUUAGAGUAGAGGCAUAGAGCAUUAGAGUAGAGGGAUAGAGCAUUAGAGUAGAGACACAGAACAGUAGAGUGAGGCAUAGAGCUGUAGAAUGAGGCAUAGAGCUGUAGAGUGAGGCAUAGAGCAUUAGAGUAGAGACACAGAGCAGUAGAGUAGAGACACAGAGCAGUAGAGUAGAGACACAGAGCAGUAGAGUAGAGACACAGAGCAGUAGAGUAGAGGCAUAGAGCAUUAGAGUAGAGCGGCAUAGAGCAUUAGAGUAGAGCGGCAUAGAGCAUUAGAGUAGAGUGGCAUAGAGCAUUAGAGUAGAGAGGCAUAGAGCAUUAGAGUAGAGAGGCAUAGAGCAUUAGAGUAGAGAGGCAUAGAGCAUUAGAGUAGAGACAUAGAGCAGUAGAGUAGAGACAUAGAGCAGUAGAGUAGAGACAUAGAGCAUUAGAGUAGAGGCAUAGAGCAUUAAAGUAGAGACAUAGAGCAUUAGAGUAGAGGCAUAGAGCAGUAGAGUAGAGAGGCAUAGAGCAGUAGAGUAGAGGCAUAGAGCAGUAGAGUAGAGACAUAGAGCAUUAGAGUAGAGAGGCAUAGAGCAGUAGAGUAGAGACAUAGAGCAGUAGAGUAGAGACAUAGAGCAGUAGAGUAGAGACAUAGAGCAGUAGAGUAGAGAGGCAUAGAGCAUUAGAGUAGAGAGGCAUAGAGCAUUAGAGUAGAGAGGCAUAGAGCAUUAGAGUAGAGAGGCAUAGAGCAUUAAAGUAGAGACAUAGAGCAUUAAAGUAGAGACAUAGAGCAUUAGAGUAGAGACAUAGAGCAGUAGAGUAGAGACAUAGAGCAUUAAAGUAGAGACAUAGAGCAUUAGAGUAGAGAGGCAUAGAGCAUUAGAGUAGAGGCAUAGAGCAGUAGAGUAGAGGCAUAGAGCAGUAGAGUAGAGACAUAGAGCAUUAGAGUAGAGAGGCAUAGAGCAGUAGAGUAGAGACAUAGAGCAGUAGAGUAGAGACAUAGAGCAGUAGAGUAGAGACAUAGAGCAGUAGAGUAGAGAGGCAUAGAGCAGUAGAGUAGAGACAUAGAGCAGUAGAGUAGAGACAUAGAGCAGUAGAGUAGAGACAUAGAGCAGUAGAGUAGAGACACUUACAGAAGUUGCACUCAUGGUGUUUUUUUAACUUGGGUCUGGGAAGAAAUGCCUUUUAUAAACACAUUUCAUGCAAUUCUACCUCAUUUUAUAUAACUGGAGACUAGCAGAAUAUUUCAAAUUCUGCACAAAUGAUCUAAAUGACAGGCUACUUUGACACUGACAAACUGAGGUCAAUAAAGUAAACUAAGUAAAGUAAUCCAUCAAUAGUCUAGGUCUAGGUGUGACAUACUGUACAAUAUGAGGAGGAAAUGAUAGUCCUAGAAAACAGUGGAGGCUGCUGAGGGGAGGAUGGCUCAUAAUAAUGGCUGGAACGGAGCAAAUGGAAUGGCAUCAAACACCUGGAAACAAUGUGUUUGAUAUAUUUGAUACCAUUCCACUGAUUCUGCUCCAGCCAUUAACACAAGC
ensembl:lncRNA